CACCUACGGGGCGCAGCAGUGGGGAAUAUUGGGCAAUGGGCGCAAGCCUGACCCAGCAACGCCGCGUGAAGGAAGAAGGCUUUCGGGGUGUAAACUUCUUUUAUGAGGGACGAAAGAAAUGACGGUACCUCAUGAAUAAGCCACGGCUAACUACGUGCCAGCAGCCGCGGUAAUACGUAGGUGGCAAGCGUUAUCCGGAUUUACUGGGUGUAAAGGGCGUGUAGGCGGGACUGCAAGUCAGGGGGGGAAAUUAUGGGCUCAACCCAUAACCUGCAUUUGAAACUGUAGUUCUUGA
rnacentral:rRNA from 1 species